UGGGGAAUAUUGCACAAUGGGCGCAAGCCUGAUGCAGCCAUGCCGCGUGUAUGAAGAAGGCCUUCGGGUUGUAAAGUACUUUCAGCGGGGAGGAAGGGAGUAAAGUUAAUACCUUUGCUCAUUGACGUUACCCGCAGAAGAAGCACCGGCUAACUCCGUGCCAGCAGCCGCGGUAAUACGGAGGGUGCAAGCGUUAAUCGGAAUUACUGGGCGUAAAGCGCACGCAGGCGGUUGAUUGAGUCAGAUGUGAAAUCCCCGGGCUUAACCCGGGAAUUGCAUCUGAUACUGGUCAGCUAGAGUCUUGUAGAGGGGGGUAGAAUUCCAUGUGUAGCGAUGAAAUGCGUAGAGAUGUGGAGGAAUACCGGUGGCGAAGGCGGCCCCCUGGACAAAGACUGACGCUCAGGUGCGAAAGCGUGGGGAGCAAACAGG
rnacentral:rRNA from 1 species